AGCAGCAGCAACAUUGGAGUACA
rnacentral:misc_RNA from 1 species